UACGGAGGGUGCAAGCGUUGUCCGGAUUUAUUGGGUUUAAAGGGUGCGUAGGCGGUCUUUUAAGUCAGCGGUGAAAUCCUCCAGCUUAACUGGGGAACUGCCAUUGAUACUGGAAGACUUGAGUACAGACGAGGUAGGCGGAAUUGACAGUGUAGCGGUGAAAUGCAUAGAUAUUGUCAAGAACACCGAUUGCGAAGGCAGCUUACUAGACUGUAACUGACGCUGAGGCACGAAAGUGUGGGGAUCAAACAGG
rnacentral:rRNA from 1 species